CUAAGUACCCCGAGGAAAAGAAAUCAACCGAGAUUCCCUUAGUAGUGGCGAGCGAACGGGGACUAGCCCUUAAGUGGCUUUGAGAUUAGCGGAACGCUCUGGAAAGUGCGGCCAUAGUGGGUGAUAGCCCUGUACGCGAAAAUCUCUUAGUCAUGAAAUCGAGUAGGACGGAGCACGAGAAACUUUGUCUGAAUAUGGGGG
rnacentral:rRNA from 17 species